rnacentral:rRNA from 1 species
UGGUAGGGUAACGGCCUACCAAGCCCAUCAUCGGUACGGGUUGUGAGAGCAAGAGCCCGGAGAUGGAACCUGAGACAAGGUUCCAGGCCCCACGGGGCGCAGCAGGCGCGAAACCUCCGCAAUGCACGCAAGUGCGACGGGGGAACCCCAAGUGCCACUCUUAACGGGGUGGCUUUUCAGAAGUGUAAAAAGCUUCUGGAAUAAGGGCUGGGCAAGACCGGUGCCAGCCGCCGCGGUAACACCGGCAGCUCAAGUGGUAGCCGCUUUUAUUGGGCCUAAAGCGUCCGUAGCCGGUCUGAUACGUCUCUGGUGGAAUCCCACAGCUUAACUGUGGGAAUUGCUGGAGAUACUAUCCUGACUCGAGGUCGGGAGAGGCUGGAGGUACUCCCAGGGUAGGGGUGAAAUCCUGUAAUCCUGGGAGGACCACCUGUGGCGAAGGCGUCCAGCUGGAACGAACCUGACGGUGAGGGACGAAAGCCAGGGGCGCGAACCGGAUUAGAU